rnacentral:rRNA from 1 species
ACUCCGGUUGAUCCUGCCGGACCCCACCGCUAUCGGGGUGGGACUAAGCCAUGCGAGUCGGCGCCCUCCGGCCACCGGGGAGGGCGCGGCGGACGGCUCCGUAACACGUAGCUAACCUACCCUCGGGAUGGGGAUAACCCCGGGAAACUGGGGCUAAUCCCCGAUAGGUGAGGGCGCCUGGAAUGGUCUCUCACCGAAAGGGCGCUGGAACCAUGCUUCCAGCGCCGCCCGAGGAUGGGGCUGCGGCCCAUCAGGUUGUUGGUGGGGUAACGGCCCACCAAGCCUAUAACGGGUACGGGCCGUGAGAGCGGGAGCCCGGAGAUGGGCACUGAGACAAGGGCCCAGGCCCUACGGGGCGCAGCAGGCGCGAAACCUCCGCAAUGCGCGCAAGCGUGACGGGGCUACCCCGAGUGCCGCCCGCUGAGGGCGGCUUUUCCCCAGUGUAAACAGCUGGGGGAAUAAGGGGAGGGCAAGUCGGGUGUCAGCCGCCGCGGUAAUACCCGCUCCCCGAGUGGUGGGGACGAUUAUUGGG